UACGUAGGGUGCGAGCGUUGUCCGGAAUUAUUGGGCGUAAAGAGCUCGUAGGCGGUUUGUUGCGUCUAUCGUGAAAACCUGCAGCUUAACUGUGGGCUUGCGGUGGAUACGGGCAGACUUGAGUUCGGUAGGGGAGACUGGAAUUCCUGGUGUAGCGGUGAAAUGCGCAGAUAUCAGGAGGAACACCGGUGGCGAAGGCGGGUCUCUGGGCCAUAACUGACGCUGAGAAGCGAAAGCAUGGGGAGCGAACAGG
rnacentral:rRNA from 1 species